rnacentral:misc_RNA from 1 species
GCACCUACCGAUUGAAUGGUUCGGUGAAAAUCUCGGACUGCGGCUUGGAUGCCUUCGGGCAACCAAGCUGUGGAAAGUUGUUUAAACCUCAUCAUUUAGCGGAAGGUGAAGUCGUAACAAGGUUUCCGUAGGUGAACCUGCAGAAGGAUCAAGAUCGGAAGUGCACACGUCUGUACCACCGUCACGUGGUCCUACCUGGUAUGCCGUCUUCUGCCCGAAAAAAAAAACAGAUGUAUACUGAUGCAUGUUCCUCACACGUCACUUUUAGCAUCGACCC